UACAGAGGUGGCAAGCGUUGUUCGGAAUUACUGGGCGCAAAGGGCGAGUAGGUGGCCAUCUAAGUCAGACGUGAAAUCCCCCGGCUUAACCUGGGAACUGCGUCUGAUACUGGACGGCUUGAGUAUGGGAGAGGAACGUAGAAUUCCAGGUGUAGCGGUGAAAUGCGUAGAUAUAGGAAGGAAUACCAGUGGCGAAGGCGGCCUCCUGGAUCGAUACUGACGCUGAGGCGCGAAAGCGUGGGGAGCAAACAGG
rnacentral:rRNA from 1 species